rnacentral:rRNA from 1 species
GAUGAACGCUGGCGGCGUGCCUAAUACAUGCAAGUCGAGCGAACAGACGAGGAGCUUGCUCCUCUGACGUUAGCGGCGGACGGGUGAGUAACACGUGGAUAACCUACCUAUAAGACUGGGAUAACUUCGGGAAACCGGAGCUAAUACCGGAUAAUAUAUUGAACCGCAUGGUUCAAUAGUGAAAGACGGUUUUGCUGUCACUUAUAGAUGGAUCCGCGCCGCAUUAGCUAGUUGGUAAGGUAACGGCUUACCAAGGCAACGAUGCGUAGCCGACCUGAGAGGGUGAUCGGCCACACUGGGACUGAGACACGGCCCAGACUCCUACGGGAGGCAGCAGUAGGGAAUCUUCGGCAAUGGACGAAAGUCUGACCGAGCAACGCCGCGUGAGUGAAGAAGGUUUUCGGAUCGUAAAGCUCUGUUGUAAGAGAAGAACGGGUGUGAGAGUGGAAAGUUCACACUGUGACGGUAUCUUACCAGAAAGGGACGGCUAACUACGUGCCAGCAGCCGCGGUAAUACGUAGGUCCCGAGCGUUGUCCGGAUUUAUUGGGCGUAAAGCGAGCGCAGGCGGUUAGAUAAGUCUGAAGUUAAAGGCUGUGGCUUAACCAUAGUACGCUUUGGAAACUGUUUAACUUGAGUGCAGAAGGGGAGAGUGGAAUUCCAUGUGUAGCGGUGAAAUGCGUAGAUAUAUGGAGGAACACCGGUGGCGAAAGCGGCUCUCUGGUCUGUAACUGACGCUGAGGCUCGAAAGCGUGGGGAGCGAACAGGAUUAGAUACCCUGGUAGUCCACGCCGUAAACGAUGAGUGCUAGGUGUUAGGCCCUUUCCGGGGCUUAGUGCCGCAGCUAACGCAUUAAGCACUCCGCCUGGGGAGUACGACCGCAAGGUUGAAACUCAAAGGAAUUGACGGGGGCCCGCACAAGCGGUGGAGCAUGUGGUUUAAUUCGAAGCAACGCGAAGAACCUUACCAGGUCUUGACAUCCCGAUGCCCGCUCUAGAGAUAGAGUUUUAUUUCGGUACAUCGGUGACAGGUGGUGCAUGGUUGUCGUCAGCUCGUGUCGUGAGAUGUUGGGUUAAGUCCCGCAACGAGCGCAACCCUUAUUGUUAGUUGCCAUCAUUCAGUUGGGCACUCUAGCGAGACUGCCGGUAAUAAACCGGAGGAAGGUGGGGAUGACGUCAAAUCAUCAUGCCCCUUAUGACCUGGGCUACACACGUGCUACAAUGGCUGGUACAACGAGUCGCAAGUCGGUGACGGCAAGCUAAUCUCUUAAAGCCAGUCUCAGUUCGGAUUGUAGGCUGCAACUCGCCUACAUGAAGUCGGAAUCGCUAGUAAUCGCGGAUCAGCACGCCGCGGUGAAUACGUUCCCGGGCCU